GACGAACGCUGGCGGCGUGCCUAAUACAUGCAAGUCGAGCGGGCCUCCGGAGGUGCUUGCACCUCCGGAAGGCCAGCGGCGGACGGGUGAGUAACACGUGGGCAACCUGCCUUUGAGGCCGGGACAACACCGGGAAACCGGUGCUAAUACCGGAUACGUCCUCUUUCGCGCCUGCGAGAGGGGAGAAAGACGGUCUUUAAGGCCGUCGCUCAAAGAGGGGGCCGCGGCGCAUUAGCUGGUUGGUGGGGUAAGGGCCUACCAAGGCGACGAUGCGUUGCCGACCUGAGAGGGUGAUCGGCCACACUGGGACUGAGACACGGCCCAGACUCCUGCGGGAGGCAGCAGUAGGGAAUCAUCCGCAAUGGGCGAAAGCCUGACGGUGCAACGCCGCGUGAGUGAGGAAGGUUUUCGGAUCGUAAAGCUCUGUUGUGAGGGAAGAACAGCUUCUGGAGGAAAUGCCGGAGGUUUGCCGGUACCUCACCAGAAAGCCCCGGCUAACUACGUGCCAGCAGCCGCAGUAAUAC
rnacentral:rRNA from 1 species